UCAGAGAGCUGGGUCGUCGCGUUUGACGACCAUCUCCUCCACAGUUUUCCUCGUCGAUCUCGUAUUCUCCAAUCACCCGGGUCUGGCUUUAGCAUGUCUGUUAAUUUUCGCCAUUUUACUUUCAUUUUUAAAUUGCCAAUAAUAUAUUUUUCUUUUUCAUACGGGAUGUGAUAUAUUUCAAUUAUUGGAUCUGCGACACAGGAUAGAGGUCAGCAUGCCUGGUAUGGUCGAUGCGCCACAUCUAUGCAUCGUUCCUACUUCCUCCAUAAUGCCCAAUUCUUCACAGGUUUGUUUCCCCUUCUAAUUUAAUUAAAAAGUAUAUAAUUUUGUAUUUGCUGAAACAACAUAUUAGCAAGUUAUAUAACUCAUAUGUUUAUUGUUUAUUUAAGACAAAGUAAAAACUCUUGCAUGUUUUAACUAAAAUUUGCUUCAUAUGCUUUAAUUAACAUGCACCCAAUUCUCAAUUGGCUUAAUGGGUGUAGGUCAUACUUGUGAUGCCUCUAGGUGAAUCGACACAUAAAUACCUAAUGUCGGUCUUUGCUUCUAGUGGAAAAUUUGGCCUGUAGAGUUAUUUGUACGAAUUAGCACUGUGUGAGUUAUUGUUCCGUGUGCAUUCAUAGGAUCUUUGCUUAUUCUUGCAGCCUCCCUCACAAGGGUAGUAGUCAUGAUUCUCACACUCACUGAUAUACAUCCGUAUGUAGUCCAUAUUGAAAUCUCUAAAAGGACUUGUAUUUAGGAACGGAGCAAGUAUAAUAGAAACAUUCCUGUUCGAAUUAGUAGAUUUCUCAAAUCAAUGAACACAUAGUCCUAAAAAUUACCAAGAAAAUCAAAGUUCACAUUUUGAAGAAAUUGUUAGACAUAUAUAAGUCAAGUAAGAAUGUAAGAUGAUGUUAUAACAUAUAUGACUAAAUUGUGACUACCUGAUCUAUCUAUUUUUUUUGCCUCAUCUAAGGAAGUUCUUGUAACGCCCUUCCGUAAAACAUUUGCUCUUCUAGUGUGCGUUGUAGUACUUCUAUCAAUAUCGAUCAUUUUUGGUAAAGAUUCUUCCGCUGGGUGCCUAUAUAUAUGGAGUGACAUUUAGUCAUAGUUAAUUAGUCAAUAAAUCAGAAUAGCUGGUGUUUCAUACCAGUUAAGAAGUUCCCGAGGUUUGGGUAUAUCGAGAUCGGUAUAUACUCAUGUGGCACUGCUUGACUAUAGGCACAAAUGUAUCAAGUAGAAAUCUGUUAAAUAUUUUAUUUUUGUAAAUAACAUAUCAGGUUUUAAAAUUGUUGAACUUACCAUUGUUGAGGUCACACAGACACUUUGGUUAUCGAUGAAUAUGUAUAACAUAAACCUGCUCAUCCAUAUAGAUCACAUCAAGGCUAAUAAGUUCAUCGAUUGGAGGAUUAUUGUAUCCCAUGUUCCCAUUAGUUUCACUUAAACAUCCCAGUUUUGGUAUCUUGUUGAAGUCUCUUAGUUUCUUGUAUUCCCAUUGCUUCAAAAGGAUUGAAAAUGUACUUGUCAAUUGAUAAUGUUCAUAUGAAGAUUUUUGCUGAAGAAAUUGAGUUCAUAGUAAUAAUACUUACUAACCUUGUUGAUUCAGGUGAGAAGGAAACUUGGAUGGUUGGGUGUGACUUAUGUAGAAAGGAGUUGCAUGCCACUUCAUAAUUUGGGCCGCCUUUGAUAUUGCCUGAGCACCAAGUCUGAAGAUCUCGCAUCAUAGAGAGUUCGCUUCAAUUGUCCUGGUGGUGGGAUCGUCGAGUCUCGGCGUCGUACAGUUGGUUGGCUUCAAUUUUCCUAGUCAUGGUGCUGAGUCGUGAGUUGCUGGGUGUCUUAGAUUUCCAGGCGGAUGGUGGGCGUGUGCUGGGUGCUGGGUGCGGCCAGCUGUGUAUUUUGAUGUAUGAGUUCUGGCUGUGCCCUUAUGGAGUCCUUGUAUGCUUAUUAUUUUUCUUCCAAUUAAAGCCUAUAUGUGACAAUAGGUUGAUGGAUGCGGCCAAUUUUGUAUUUUUAUGGGGACUCUGUCCGUAAGCACUCUUUGUAUGUGUUUACGUGUCCUUGGCUUACCGAGUGUCCGAGUUAUGUAUGUGUCCUUUAGAGUCCCGAUUAGGAAUUGCACGUGACAAUAGUUGGACAUGUAACGCCUUUAUAUAAUAUAUUAGUGGAAGAGAUAAUUAUUUUGUGUUGUGUUUUUUGGCUUCCUUCUACGAUUAUGUUGACGAGCCUUAUG
rnacentral:lncRNA from 1 species